rnacentral:rRNA from 1 species
UACGUAGGGAGCUAGCGUUGUUCGGAAUUACUGGGCGUAAAGCGCGCGUAGGCGGCUUUGUAAGUUAGAGGUGAAAGCCCGGAGCUCAACUCCGGAACUGCCUUUAAGACUGCAUCGCUUGAAUCAUGGAGAGGUUAGUGGAAUUCCGAGUGUAGAGGUGAAAUUCGUAGAUAUUCGGAAGAACACCAGUGGCGAAGGCGACUAACUGGACAUGUAUUGACGCUGAGGUGCGAAAGCGUGGGGAGCAAACAGGG